CAAUAGCAUAUAUUAACGUUGUUGCAGUUGAAAAGCUCGUAGUUGAACUUUUGGUAGGAGCGACCUGGCCUUGGGCGCAUGCCCUUGUUUGCCGUGUGUCGUAUCUGGCCAUCCUUUUCUUCGUUUUUCGGAGGAAUCUUUUACUGUGAGUAAACUGGAGUGCUCAAAACAAGACGUUUGUUUGGUACAUUAAAGCAUGGAAUAAUAAGAUAGGACCUGGUUACUAUUUUGUUGGUUUGCAUAGCUAGGUAAUGAUUAACAGGGACAGUUGGGGGUAUUCGUAUUUAAUUGUCAGAGGUUAAAUUCUUGGAUUUAUGAAAGACGAACGACUGCGAAAGCAUUUACCAAGGAUGUUUUCAUUAA
rnacentral:rRNA from 1 species